UACGUAGGGUGCAAGCGUUAAUCGGAAUUACUGGGCGUAAAGCGUGCGCAGGCGGUUAUAUAAGACAGUUGUGAAAUCCCCGGGCUCAACCUGGGAACUGCAUCUGUGACUGUAUAGCUAGAGUACGGUAGAGGGGGAUGGAAUUCCGCGUGUAGCAGUGAAAUGCGUAGAUAUGCGGAGGAACACCGAUGGCGAAGGCAAUCCCCUGGACCUGUACUGACGCUCAUGCACGAAAGCGUUGGGGAGCAAACAGGG
rnacentral:rRNA from 1 species